AGAGAGGGAAAGAAGGAGAAAGAAAUAGGGAGUGUUUAUUCACAUUUGACAAUGCUUUGCUGUAAUUCAUAUGUAUUAUUGACGACAUUGUCAGGAAAGAUUAUUAAUUGUAGCAAUAAAGUACGAGAGGCUAGCUACCCAAGAAGCUGACCAGAAGUUCCAACACAAAGGAGGAGGAACAAACUGGAAGUAGGCAUGUGAAAUAAGGGAACCCCCUGGAGAAUCAUGUCAACCGGACCAGAGAGGCCUCUGGCAGUCGUGUGAGAGGGGCCGCCCUGGCAGAGAUUCGGGAGACAGUCCCCUCGGUCUAAAUCUGGUUUAACCUCCCAAUGAUUCAACA